AUUGAACGCUGGCGGCAGGCCUAACACAUUCAAGUCGAACGAGUGUCAGACGGUUUAGUAAUGUCUGGGAAGCUGCCUGAUGGAGGGGGAUAACUACUGGAAAAGGUAACUAAUACCGCAUAACAUCAUAUUUUCCCAGAUGGGAUUAGCUAGUAGGUGGGGUAAAGGCUCACCUAGGCGACGAUCCCUAGCUGGUCUGAGAGGAUGACCAGACACACUGGAACUGAGACACGGUCCAGACUCCUACGGGAGGCAGUAGUGGGGAAUAUUGCACAAUGGGCGCAAGCCUGAUGCAGCCAGGCCGCGUGUAUGAAGAAGGCCUUCGGGUUGUAAAGUACUUUCAGCGGGGAGGCGUUACCCGCAGAAGAAGCACCGGCUAACUCCGUGCCAGCCGCCGCGGUAAUUC
rnacentral:rRNA from 1 species